CCUACGGGAGGUAGCAGUGAGGAAUAUUGGUCAAUGGACGAGAGUCUGAACCAGCCAAGUAGCGUGAAGGAUGACUGCCCUAUGGGUUGUAAACUUCUUUUAUAUGGGAAUAAAAUGUUCCACGUGUGGGAUUUUGUAUGUACCAUAUGAAUAAGGAUCGGCUAACUCCGUGCCAGCAGCCGCGGUAAUACGGAGGAUCCGAGCGUUAUCCGGAUUUAUUGGGUUUAAAGGGAGCGUAGGUGGAGUGUUAAGUCAGUUGUGAAAGUUUGCGGCUCAACCGUAAAAUUGCAGUUGAAACUGGCAGUCUUGAGUACAGUAGAGGUGGGCGGAAUUCGUGGUGUAGCGGUGAAAUGCUUAGAUAUCACGAAGAACUCCGAUUGCGAAGGCAGUUCACUGGACUGCAACUGACACUGAGGCUCGAAAGUGUGGGUAUCAAACAGGAUUAGAUACCCCAGUAGUC
rnacentral:rRNA from 1 species